AGUUAUAUUCUGCAAGAGAAACAGAGAGCUCAGAGCUUCGCACACUCUAAACUCCGUUAAUAAUGGCAGCUUCUUCAUCCUCAACAACUCUUGCUCUAUGUUCUUCCUUCUCUUCUCACUGCAAAAUCUCUAAAGUUUCUCCCUCUUCUCCUCUUCUUUCUUUCUCUAAACCAAAACUCCCCUCUUCUCUUAUUUUCUCAACUUCACGACCUCCGGCAUUCUUUUUCACUCCCAAAUACUCUGCCUCUGAAGCAAGCGCCGUUUUGGACUCCGAACCCGAGUCGCCUCCUGAACCCGCCCCCGCUGUGGAACUCCUCGCCUCCGAGGAAGAGAAGCCCAAGCGUGAAGAAAUCUUCGCUGUUGUCAUGAUUGGAUCGCGCCAAUAUAUUGUUUUCCCUGGUCGAUAUAUCUAUACACAGAGGCUAAAAGGUGCAAAUGUCAAUGAUAAGAUUGUUUUGAACAAGGUACUGCUUGUGGGAACCAGAACAACUACCUAUAUUGGAAAACCAGUUGUGACUAAUGCUGCUGUGCAUGCAGUAGUGGAAGAGCAGGGAUUAAAUCCUAAAGUAAUUGUCUUCAAGUAUAAGAAGAAGAAAAACUACCGGAGAAAUAUUGGUCAUCGACAGGUCAAUUGGAGUUUUGACGGUUGUGAUUCCGGUUUUAUACGAAUCAGUUCUUGUCCGGCUCACGGGUCAAACGGCCGUUGCCAGGACUUCCUCUGGUUAGGUAAAUAUGAACAGUUGGAGCACGUCAUAGAGCUCUUCGGCUUUCACAUGUAAAUGGACUGAAGUAGAAAUUUCAUAGACUUGUCAACGAUGGACACAACGUAAACCGUCCAACCUUUGAAAUAUCACUGCAGGAAUCCUCCACAACAACGCCGAAUACACGGAUAAGGAUUACUGGUAUCACAGGCUAUGAAGACUUCCCAGCAGUUACACUUGAUUCACUUCAGUCAUGAACGCUUCUCCAAGGGGUUUUAGUUGUUGUCGAAACUCAAAUCAAAAUGCUUUGAAUUUGUAUGUAAUUACCUUGCAAAUUAUAUGUUUCUAUUGAUCUACAAACGCUGGGUUAUGGAGAUUAACUUUUGUCAAAAAGUGUUGUAGAAUGCCAUCUCCAAAUGUUCUCUGAUAUAUAUUUGUUUAUUGACUUUCUUUUAA